GUGGGGAAUAUUGGACAAUGGGCGAAAGCCUGAUCCAGCCAUGCCGCGUGUGUGAAGAAGGUCUUCGGAUUGUAAAGCACUUUAAGUUGGGAGGAAGGGCAGUAAGUUAAUACCUUGCUGUUUUGACGUUACCGACAGAAUAAGCACCGGCUAACUUCGUGCCAGCAGCCGCGGUAAUACGAAGGGUGCAAGCGUUAAUCGGAAUUACUGGGCGUAAAGCGCGCGUAGGUGGUUUUGUAAGGUGGAGGUGAAAUCCCCGGGCUCAACCUGGGAACUGCCUCCAAAACUGCAUGACUAGAGUACGGUAGAGGGUAGUGGAAUUUCCUGUGUAGCGGUGAAAUGCGUAGAUAUAGGAAGGAACACCAGUGGCGAAGGCGACUACCUGGACUGAUACUGACACUGAGGUGCGAAAGCGUGGGGAGCAAACAGGAUUAGAUACCCUAGUAGUCC
rnacentral:rRNA from 1 species